GAGGUUGUGCCCUUGAGGCGUGGCUUCCGGAGCUAACGCGUUAAGUAGACCGCCUGGGGAGUACGGCCGCAAGGUUAAAACUCAAAUGAAUUGACGGGGGCCCGCACAAGCGGUGGAGCAUGUGGUUUAAUUCGAUGCAACGCGAAGAACCUUACCUGGUCUUGACAUCCACAGAACUUUCCAGAGAUGGAUUGGUGCCUUCGGGAACUGUGAGACAGGUGCUGCAUGGCUGUCGUCAGCUCGUGUUGUGAAAUGUUGGGUUAAGUCCCGCAACGAGCGCAACCCUUAUCCUUUGUUGCCAGCGGUCCGGCCGGGAACUCAAAGGAGACUGCCAGUGAUAAACUGGAGGAAGGUGGGGAUGACGUCAAGUCAUCAUGGCCCUUACGACCAGGGCUACACACGUGCUACAAUGGCGCAUACAAAGAGAAGCGACCUCGCGAGAGCAAGCGGACCUCAUAAAGUGCGUCGUAGUCCGGAUUGGAGUCUGCAACUCGACUCCAUGAAGUCGGAAUCGCUAGUAAUCGUGGAUCAGAAUGCCACGGUGAAUACGUUCCCGGGCCUUGUACACACCGCCCGUCACACCAUGGGAGUGGGUUGCAAAAGAAGUAGGUAGCUUAACCUUCGGGAGGGCGCUUACCACUUUGUGAUUCAUGACUGGGGUGAAGUCGUAACAAGGUAACCGUAGGGGAACCUGCGGUUGGAUCACCUCCUUACCUUAAAGAAGC
rnacentral:rRNA from 2 species